rnacentral:tRNA from 1 species
CUCUCUGUAGCUCAGUUGGUUAGAGCACUGCACCGAAAUCGCAAGGCUGCAGGUUCGAUUCCUGUCAGAGGGC